CAGACUUCUUUUUCCUUCCAAAUUUCAGCAGGCUACAGACGUUUCGUUUCGUGUUGAAUUCUAAGGAAGUAAUGAUCAGAUAUGUGGGUUACAGAGCUGCCUCUUGGACGACCUGCAGAAUCUCACUUAUGCUAAGUAAUUCAUUUGCAGUGUUCAAGUGUGGAUUUUCAGUCCAAUCAGCACAACUAACUGAUGACCGUGACACUUACAUUCACCCGUCAAUUAACGAGUUCGAUUCUCGUAAGUAUGCGCAAAUACUGAAGGGAUGUACAUCCCUCAAUGAUCCAAAUAAAGGGAAGAGUCUGCAUUGUAAUAUCAUCAAGAAAGGAAAUUGCUUAGAUUUGUUUGCUUGGAAUAUUCUUUUGAAUAUGUAUGUGAAAUCGGAGUUAAUAAGUGAUGCACAGACACUGUUUGAUGUAAUGUUUGAAAGAAACACGAUUACAUAUGUUACUUUAAUUCAAGGGUAUAUGCAAUCUUUCCAAUGUGUUGAGGCAUUUCAGCUGUUUAUAAGAUUGCAUAGAGAAGGACAUGAACUUAACCCGUUUGUGUUCACUAGUAUUUUGAAGUUGUUUGUGAGUAUGGAAUUUGCGGAACUUUGUUUGCGGGUUCAUGCUUGUGUUCUUAAGCUCGGACAUGAUAGUAAUCCCUUUGUUGGGACUGCACUGAUUGAUGCUUAUUCUAUAAGUGGGAAUGUGGAUGAUGCAAGGGAAGUUUUUGAUGGGAUACAUGAAAAGGAUAUGGUUUCUUGGAGCGGAAUGAUAGCUUGUUAUUCUGAUAAUGGUUACUUUGAGGAAGCUUUGGAACUUUUCUGUUGUAUGAGGAGGAUGGGGUUGAAGCCGAACAAUUUUACUUUUGAUAGUUCCCUUAAGGCUUGUGUGGGUUUGGGGUCAGCCAGGAUCGGUAAAUGUAUACAUGGAUGUGCUUUAAAAAGUCAGUUUGAGCUUGAUCCUUACGUCAGUACUGCUUUGCUUGAUUUGUACACCAAGUGUGAAAAUUUUAGUGAUGCCCUAAAGAUCUUUAAAGAGACACCUCAAAAGGAUGUGAUACUUUGGAGUUUCAUGAUAUCAAGAUAUUCUCAGAGUGGUCGAAGCGAAGAGGCUGCAGAUCUCUUUAGUCAGAUGAGGAAAGCUUUUGUGGUUCCAAAUCAAUUCACGCUUGCUAGUGUUUUACAAGCUUGUGCAACGAUGGAGUGUAUAAAAUUAGGGGAGCAAACCCAUUGCCAUGUUCUCAAAGUCGGGCUUAUUACAGAUAUCUUUGUGUCAAAUGCUCUCAUGGAUGUGUAUGCUAAAUGUCAAAGAAUGGUAGAUUCAGAGAACAUCUUCUUCAAUUCUGCACAGAGAAAUGAUGUUACAUGGAACACAAUGAUUGUUGGGUAUGCACAGUGGGGGAAUGGGGAAGAGGCAUUGAGACUCUUCUUAAGGAUGAUAGAUGCGCAAGUAAAGCCAACCCAAGUUACGUAUUCAGGUGUUCUCCGAGCUUGUGCAAGCUUGGCAGCAUUAAAGCCAGGAACUCAGAUUCACGGCUUGAUUCGUAAAACUGUUUUUGACAGGGAUACGAUUGUUGGGAAUGGUUUGAUAGAUAUGUAUGCAAAGUGUGGAAGUAUUAAAGAGGCCCGUUUAGUAUUUGACACAAUGGACAAGAUGGAUGCUGUCUCAUGGAAUUCAAUGAUGUCAGCAUAUUCUUUACAUGGUUCAGGUGAAGAUGCUCUGAAGCUUUUCGCGAAAAUGAAGGAAGAGAAAGUUCAACCCAACAAGAUAACCUUUGUUGGUGUCCUAUCAGCAUGUAGUAACACAGGACUAGUGGAUAAGGGAUGGCUUUAUUUCAAGUCCAUGUAUACUGACUAUGGCAUCAAACCAUGUAUUGAGCAUUACACAUGUAUGGUAUGGCUUUUAGGACGUUCUGGCCAACUUAAUGAGGCUGUGAAGUUCAUUGACGAGAUGCCAUUUGAACCUAGCGUCAUGGUGUGGAGAGCUCUUCUUGGUGCUUGUGUCGUUCACAACAAUAUUGAGCUUGGUAGAGUUACUGCUGAACGUGUGCUUCAGAUGGACCCCCACGACGAUGCCACUCACGUAUUAUUAUCAAAUAUGUAUGCAGUUGCUAAGAACUGGGAUGGUGUAACAUCUACCAGGAAAAACAUGAAAAGGAAAGGUGUGAAGAAGGAACCUGGCCUAAGUUGGAUUGAGAGCCAAGGUAAAGUGCACUGCUUCGGGGUAGGAGAUACAUCGCAUCCUGAUUUGCGGUUGAUCAAUGGGAUAUUGGAAUGGUUAAAUGUAAAGAUCAAGAAGGCAGGUUAUGUGGCUGACCGAAACAUUGUUUUGCUAGAUGUAGAAGAUGGUGAAAAGGAUCGGCUUUUAUGGGUACACAGUGAGAGACUAGCCCUUGCUUUUGCGCUGGUUAGUAUUCCGCAUGGAAGCGCUAUACGGAUUAUAAAAAAUCUUCGAAUAUGUGCUGAUUGUCAUGCUGCGAUCAAGCUUAUAUCAAGGGUUGUCCAACGGGAAAUUGUCGUGAGAGAUAUAAACCGCUUUCAUCAUUUUGAGAAUGGUGUUUGCUCUUGCAAAGAUUAUUGGUGAUGUUUGUGCACUAGAAUCAAUUUUGUUUGAAAUUUGCAGACUUCUUUUUCCUUCCAAAUUUCAGCAGGCUACAGACGUUUCGUUUCGUGGGUUUAGUUAGGCCAUUUCUUCGACGGCCCUCCACCGUGCAAGCGGUCGUCCAGUUUUAAGACUUUGAAUAGAGUGUAUGCUGAUUAAAUGGAUGUCACCCCGUUCAAGCUAGACAUUGAUGAGCUAAUACAUGAAUUCUCUGAUAGAAAAUCAACAACUUUGGUUGAUAUGAAGAAAAUAUGGCUAUCCCGGAAGUUGUCUUUUAUUUACGGGGGUAGGCCUAGGAACAACGAGGCCUUUUUCAUGCAAUCAUUAUAUGCACAUUCAAUAGGUUACAUGUUAUCUAAAGAUUCAUUUUCACAGAGAUUGGGCGGCUUUUACUGCAAAAUUUAUAAAUCCUAAAAGAUGUUUAAAACAUAUUAAAUUAUGUGAAUCUAGAAAACACAGUAGCAAACACAAAUCAACAGCAGUAAACCCUCUUUAUAAUCACCCUUACUGACAAAAUGCACUGACUGACCUUCUACACCCACUAUAAUGUUGAAACUGAUGAUUAUCUUUUUGGCUUCUAUUUUCGCUGCAAGAGAACCCAUCCGGACUUGAUACUCCAAUUCAAUAGCAUGUCUUCAAGAUUCUG